rnacentral:rRNA from 1 species
GACGAACGCUGGCGGCGUGCUUAACACAUGCAAGUCGAACGGGCCUGUCUUCUUUUUUGGGGGUGGGUUGAGUGGCGAACGGGUGAGUAUCACGUGAGUAACCUGCCCUUCGGUCCUGGAUAACCGCUUGAAAGGGCGGCUAAUACGGGGUGGUCCGGUUGGUCCGCAUGGGCUGGUCGGGAUAGAUUCACUGUUUUUGGUGUUUCGGCGGGGGAUGGGCUCGCGGCCUAUCAGCUUGUUGGUGGGGUGAUGGCCUACCAAGGCGGUGACGGGUAGGCGGACUGGGAGGGUGGGCGGCCACACUGGGACUGGGAUACGGCCCAGACUCCGGGGGGAGGGAGCAGUGGGGGGUAUUGAACAAUGGGCGGAAGCCUGAUGCAGCGACGUAGCGUGAGGGAUGGAGGCCUUCGGGUUGUGAACCUCUGUUUCCGGUGGUGAAGGCCCUGUCCGUGUGGUGGGGUUGACGGUAGCCGGGGAUGAAGCGCCGGCUAACUACGUG